rnacentral:tRNA from 1 species
AGGAUGUGGUGUAAUGGGAGCACAAAGGGUUUUGAGUUCUUUAGUAUAGGUUCAAGUCCUAUUCUCCUAG